GACCUGGUGGUGUAAUGGUUACACAUCUGCUUAAAAUACCGAGUUUUCAACACGUUGUGCAGAGGUUCCUCGUUCGAAUCGAGGCUGGGUCG